UUUGAAGUUAGCGGCGGACGGGUGAGUAACACGUGGGUAACCUACCUAUAAGACUGGGAUAACUCCGGGAAACCGGAGCUAAUACCGGAUAACAUUUAGAACCGCAUGGUUCUAAAGUGAAAGAUGGUUUUGCUAUCACUUAUAGAUGGACCCGCGCCGUAUUAGCUAGUUGGUAAGGUAACGGCUUACCAAGGCGACGAUACGUAGCCGACCUGAGAGGGUGAUCGGCCACACUGGAACUGAGACACGGUCCAGACUCCUACGGGAGGCAGCAG
rnacentral:rRNA from 1 species